rnacentral:lncRNA from 1 species
GAGACUUAGAUUGAUUUAGGUUGGUCGCUUCGUGGCUAAAUACUUCAUAGAACUUAGCAAAUGUUGUGGAGUACCACUUCGCGGAAUGGUGAGUUCUUGAUUGUGACGAGAACCUUAUUAGGUGGACUUUCUCGCUAAUAAGACCGCCACCCGUAUUUUUGUGUCACUACUAAUGAAAGCUUAGUAGUUAGUAGGACACAUUUUAGUCAUCUAAUGUCCUAG